rnacentral:lncRNA from 1 species
GCACCUGUGAGCAUUUGGGAUGGAUCAAGUCUAUGAAGAUGACACUUCGGGAGGUUGGGAGAAGACCAAUAUUUGUGCGUCAUAUCUUUAGCCACGAUAUGAAGCUUUCUUGCAGCGUCGGUUCGAGAUAAGGGGAUUGGAACUGGUAGGGCUUCCAGAACGGCAGAU